rnacentral:rRNA from 1 species
UACGUAGGGUGCAAGCGUUGUCCGGAAUUAUUGGGCGUAAAGAGCUCGUAGGCGGUCUGUCGCGUCGGCUGUGAAAACCCGUGGCUCAACCCCGGGCCUGCAGUCGAUACGGGCAGACUAGAGUGCGGUAGGUGAGACUGGAAUUCCUGGUGUAGCGGUGAAAUGCGCAGAUAUCAGGAGGAACACCGGUGGCGAAGGCGGGUCUCUGGGCCGUAACUGACGCUGAGGAGCGAAAGCGUGGGGAGCGAACAGG